UGUCAUACAGGGUGAGAUAAAAAAACUGCAACAAAGUUAAACGCUAUAAUUUUUACUUUUUUUUUAAUUUUAUUAAAUGAAAGCAAAAAAUGUCGGAAAUAGCAUCACAUUUUAGAAUAAGUUUAGAUUUGUUCGAAUUGGUCAACUUUGGUACGAAUUAUGGCCUUCAAACGGCCAAUGAAAUGAAACGCUGUCCGAAUGUUGCUCUGCGGUAUUUUGGUCCAUUCCCGGCGAAGCGCUUGCUUGAAGUGAUCGACACUUUGGUAUUUUUUAGUACCAACCUUGCUUUCCAAAAUACUCCAGACACAAUAGUCCAACGGAUUGGUAUCCGGAGAUUUUGGUGGCCAUUGUGCGCUGGAAAUGAAGCGAAAAUCAUUUUCGAUGAGCGACCAGCGGCUGUUAUGGCGGCCCACACCAUCAUCAUUACCGGCGGUUGAGUUCUGGUGGCCAACCUAAGGUGCACAUUUUCAGCUGACCUCUUUGCCAAGUAAACACGAUAAUUUUGUUUGUUUACAAACUGCUGAACAACGAAUGUUUUCUCAUCGGAGAAAACCAAAUUCGGCAGUCCUCCACUUUCGGCCAAGCGAAGUAAAUCUUUAGCUCUUUUGAGUCUAUUUUCUUUCUGUUGUAGUGGAAAUUCUUGCACUUUUUGGAAUUUCAAUGGCUUUACCCCGAACUCAUUUUUCAAUAUUUGCCGAGUGGAAUAUUUGCAAUAUGUUCAGCUCACGAGCCAUUUUUCGGCCACUGCGACGCGGGUUUGGAUCAAGUCGCUUCUUUAUUUUCAAACCAUUUCUGCUGAUGUUGCUGCUUUCUUCCGUCCACUUCCUUGACGUCGGGCUACGCUGCCAGUAUAACGGUA